rnacentral:rRNA from 1 species
AUCUAUGGCCAUACCACCUUUAAUGUGCAUGAUCUCAGAAGCUAAGCUAGAGCGGACCUGGUUAGUAAUCGGAUGGGAAUCCCAGAGUUUACACUUGUCAGUUGAAU